rnacentral:lncRNA from 1 species
AUGUGCAAGGAGCUGCUGCUGUGCAAUGGCCUGGCUGUGCAAGGUGCUGUGCAUGGAGCUGUGCAAGGAGCUGAGCAAGGUGCCGUGCAAAUGCCCUGCUGUGCAAGGAGCUGGUGCUGUGCAAGAUGCCAUGCAAAGGUUUGGCUGUGCAAGGAGCUGAGCAAGCUGUUAUGCAACAUGCAAAGUGCUGGUGCUGUGCAAGGCGCCAUGCAAAGGCCCUGCUGUGCAAGGAGCUGGCGCUGUGCAAAGCCCAGCUGUGCAAGGUGCUGUGCAAGGUGCAAAGCCCAGCUGUGCAAGGUGCUGUGCAAGGUGCCAGUGUUGUGCAAGGUGCUGUGCAAAGCGCUGUGUGCUGUGCACGGUGCCAUGCAAGCUCCUGUGCAUUGUGCAAGGUGCAACACAAAGGUCUGGCCCUGCAAGGAGCUGAGCAAAGUGCGAGGAGCUGAGCAAGGUCCCUGUGUCCCAAUGUCCCAAUGUCCCCAUAUCCCUAUGUCCCUAUAUCCCAAUGUCCCUAUAUCCCUAUAUCCCAAUGUCCCUGUAUCCCAAUGUCCCUAUAUCCCAAUGUCCCUAUAUCCCAAUGUCCCCCUAUGUCCCUAUAUCCCAAGGUCCCUAUAUCCCUAUAUCCCUAUGUCCCUAUAUCCCAAUGUCCCCCUAUAUCCCUAUAUCCCAAUGUCCCUAUACCCCAAUGUCCCUAUACCCCAAUGUCCCUAUAUCCCAAUGUCCCUAUGUCCCUAUGUACCCAUAUCCCCAUGUCCCUAUAAUCCUAUAUCCCCACGUCCCCAUAUCCCUAUGUACCCCUGUUCCUAUAUCCCCAUAUGCCUAUAUCCCUAUGUACCCAUGUCCCUAUAUCCCCAUACCCCUAUAUCCAAUGACCCCAUAUUCCUAUGUACCCAUGUUCCCAUAACCCCAUGUCCCUAUAUCCCCAUGUCCCUAUAUUGCCAUACCCCCAUAUCCCCAUACCCCCAUGUCCCUAUAUCCCCCUAUAUCCCCAUACCCCCAUAUCCCUAUCCUACCUAUAUCCCCACCCCACAGCCCCACCCUAUGGGUACAGAACCCCACAGCCUGACCCUAUGGGUUUAG